AGAGUUUGAUCCUGGCUCAGAACGAACGCUGGCGGCGUGCUUAAGACAUGCAAGUCGAACGGUAAGGCCCCCUUCGGGGGGUACACGAGUGGCGCACGGGUGAGUAACGCGUGGGCAAUCUACCCUCGGGUUUGGGACAACUCCGGGAAACUGGAGCUAAUACCGAAUAAGACCACGGAGUCUUUGGACUCAGUGGAAAAAGGUGGCCUCUUCUUGAAAGCUAUCGUCCGUCGAUGAGCCCGCGUGCCAUUAGCUUGUUGGUGGGGUAACGGCUCACCAAGGCUACGAUGGUUAGCUGGUCUGAGAGGAUGAUCAGCCACACUGGAACUGAGACACGGUCCAGACUCCUACGGGAGGCAGCAGUCGGGAAUCUUGGGCAAUGGGCGAAAGCCUGACCCAGCAACGCCGCGUGAGGGAUGAAGGCCCCCGGGUCGUAAACCUCUGUCGGGAGGGAAGAACAGGCUCUGGGCAAAUAGGCCAGGGCUCUGACGGUACCUCCAAAGGAAGCGCCGGCUAACUCCGUGCCAGCAGCCGCGGUAAUACGGAGGGCGCAAGCGUUGUUCGGAAUUAUUGGGCGUAAAGCGCGUGUAGGUGGUGAGGAAAGUUGGGUGUGAAAUCCCGGGGCCCAACCCCGGAACUGCACUCAAAACUCCCUCGCUAGAGUCCCGGAGAGGAAGGCGGAAUUCCCGGUGUAGAGGUGAAAUUCGUAGAUAUCGGGAGGAACACCCAGUGGCGAAG
rnacentral:rRNA from 1 species